AAAAUUAGGAGAGAAACUUUGGGGCGUGAGGAAGGCUUCUGCAUAAGGUGAAGGUCCAAAACCUUCCGAGAGAAAAAGAAAGAAAAGAGAGAAAACUGGGUGCAGGGUUUUUGGUGUGUACCCUAGGGUUUCUACCUAGGGUUCGGGAAGUGAGAUUGGUGUGCCACGAGUGUCGUGAGUCCACCAAAUUUUAGAGAGAGAUCCAUCAGCCUCUCAAGUAACUGUGCAGAUGAUCCGGAGUAUUUGAGAAGUCAGCACACAUCGAUCGAAGGAGUUCGAUCAACAUCUGCCAUCAAAAGGGUGAAAUCACGAACUAGCAUUCGUGAGGAGCUGAUCAGACGGGAGCUUCGUGUGGACGAUCCGCAGAGGCCAGACAGUUGGGUGGCUGCGACAUGAUGAUCAGAGCCCUCCGAUGGUGAUCAGAUUGUGGUGAUCGACUACCCGCAAAAGGUGAUGUGUUCUGA
rnacentral:lncRNA from 1 species